CACUGUGGCUGUUUGUUGACAACUACACAAAAUGGCGACAGAUUCAAUCAAUUUUCGCCGAUAAAAUGAUUCAAGACACCUGCAUAUACAUAAUUGCUGCGGUGUUUUGGCGAGUAAAGAUAAACAAUGUCAAACGUCUUUAAGGUCACUGUAAACAGUAUUUACUGUAGGUCAUCAUAGUCUGUCAGUCAGCCGUCAAAUAGGUCAUCAUAGCCUGUCAGUCAGCCGUCAAAUAGGUCAUCAUAGCCUGUCAGUCAGCCGUCAAAAAGGUCAUCAUAGUCUGUCAGUCAGCCGUCAAAUAGGAACAAAACGAUGGUUUCUCAUUGUCGAGAGCAAAGAUUGUGCCUAGUUUUCACAAUGCAGAAUAAAUGCACAGGCAUACUAUACUUCCAGCAGAAGUAUCAGUAGAAAAAACAUCAUACUGUUACUCGUUACUACAUGAUCUGUCUUUAAAAACUUUUGUUACCAUAUUUAUCACAAUGGAAGUAAGUAUUUGACUUGAAAAUGGAAUUGAAUUUGAUACUUCACACUGAUAUUUGUACUCAUUUGAAGACCCAUUGCACAAUGACAUCACAAGCACCUGCUACCAGAAUUUAGCAGAUGUACCGGUUGGCAAGAAGAACCAAUAUUUAUAAACAUUAUAUAGCAGCAGAAUUUUUAAAUUCUUAUAACUUUUUUAUUUGUGGAUCGAUUUUUUAGAUUCUUAUAUCAUUUGAAAGUUCUUUGUAUUCAUAUUUUUAAAAUAUAAGCGGAUUUUCAUUUUUUGCUUUUAAAAAAUAAAGCUCAGCUAUUUUUCAACUGUUAUUUCAAUAGUUUUCUAGCACCAAGUUUAACUCCUUACCAAGAAAAAAUGAAAACGCUUUGUUAACUUAUUUUUUAAUAUAUAAAAUAUGAGUAAAAUGACCUUUCUAAUGAUAUAAAAUACUAAGCUGUUUCAUGAAAAAUAAGUUUUUUAUUAUAAAUAUAAAAUUACUAUAUUUUGCAUUUUAUCAGCCACCAUUUUUUUGCCAACCAUCCGAAAGUUACCUGUAUCUCUUAUCAGCAAUUUGUUACUAUUAAUAGAUUUCAUAACAAUAACAUGCAAAGAUUUUGUGAAAGGGCGACAGCAACUUCUCGAGCCUUAUAGUCGGUCAUAAUAAAAGCCGAUCAUUCCGGUCGGUAUGAGGGUGCUUGAUUAAAAAAAAAUAUCUCGAUAUGUACAAUGAAUAGCGAACUGGAGAAUUUCGCAAUGCAUGAGUCUCUUCGGUUUUUUUUUAUUUAUCAUUUUGUAGUACACAUAGAGGAUAUUCAAGUUUUUUCUAUAAAUACAUGAUUUAUUUUCAUCAAGUGGUAUGAAAAUAAAUAUUUCAUGAGUGGCGGUAGCCACGAGUGAAAUAUGGUAAUUUUCAUGCCACAAUAGAAAAAACUUGAAUUUUCUGUUUAUUAUAUACAUUUUUCUCUUUUUUGCGAUAAAAUUUGAAGGACUUCCCCUUAAAUUUUGUGUACUGGCAGAAAUUAAAAGAAAGUAGUCCGGCAAGACACCAGUGAAAAUACGGAAAAUAUGUUUCACUGCAGUGAAAAAUAAAUUUUUACAGUGAAAAUACGGAAAAUGAAAAUACGCAUUUUAUUUCAUCAAUAUUUCUCAAUAUUUCAUUUAUAAGUAUAUAAUAAAGUGGGUUAUUAUGGUAUGUUAAAAUAGAAUGAUGAGUUGAUGACCUAAACAUUCCGAAAAUCUAUUUAUAGAGGGAUGUACUGCUAUCGGUAAUUCCCGGUCUCUCCCGGUCUAUUUUGACCGGGAUUUACUAGUGACCGGCGAAUAGUAUCACGGUCUCUCCCGGUUUUGGAGUAGAUGUUUGAUAUCGUUACAGAACAGAACAGAUAUUUUACAGAUAAAUAAGCUUUUUUUCCAAAAUGAAUGUUUGUCACUUAGUUUGGUUACAAUAAUUAAUAAACAUAGAUCAACUCUCAAA